GACGAACGCUGGCGGCGUGCUUAACACAUGCAAGUCGAACGGAAAGGCCCUGCUUUUGUGGGGUGCUCGAGUGGCGAACGGGUGAGUAACACGUGAGUAACCUGCCCUUGACUUUGGGAUAACUUCAGGAAACUGGGGCUAAUACCGGAUAGGAGCUCCUGCUGCAUGGUGGGGGUUGGAAAGUUUCGGCGGUUGGGGAUGGACUCGCGGCUUAUCAGCUUGUUGGUGGGGUAGUGGCUUACCAAGGCUUUGACGGGUAGCCGGCCUGAGAGGGUGACCGGCAACAUUGGGACUGAGAUACGGCCCAGACUCCUACGGGAGGCAGCAGUGGGGAAUAUGGCACAAGGGGCGGAAGCCUGAUGCAGAAACGCCGCGUGCGGGAUGACGGCCUUCGGGUUGUAAACCGCUUUCGCUUGUGACGAGGCGUGGGUGACGGUAAUGGGUAAAGAAGCACCGGCUAACUACGU
rnacentral:rRNA from 1 species